CUGAGUGAGGGCCUUCGGGCUCGACCUCCAACCCUUUGUGAACACCAACUUGUUACUUCGGGGGCGACCCUGCCGUUUCGACGGCGAGCGCCCCCGGAGACCAUCAAACACUGCAUCUUUGCGUCGGAGUUUAAGUAAAUUAAACA
rnacentral:misc_RNA from 1 species